rnacentral:lncRNA from 1 species
AGAUGAAGAGCUUGGGUAUCAGGGCAGGUGUGUCUGCAUGCAUGUGUGUUUUGGGGGCAGACUGAAGGAAGAGAAGGCUGGAGAGAGGGAACAUGGGUCUGAGGGCACAUCGCUAAGGGGUCAAGAGGCCUAAAGGAGGAGUCUAAGGCUCUCCAUCGAACUUGGACUUGGUCUACAUUAGACUUUAACCUCCAUGAGGCUUGGACUUUCAGGCUUCCGCCCUCACACUGCGGGCAGGUGAGGCGUCUGCUACAGGCCUGGUCUCGCAGAGGUGGCCCAGCGCCCCCCGCCGCCGCCUUCUCCUGGAGUCUGUGUGACAGAAUGGGACCUGUGGGAAAGCAGCACGUCAGCACCCAGUCCCGCUUGCGCGCCAGCAGCUAAUUAAAGCCAGGAAGGUGAUGGCGAUUUUCAACUCAUUCCCGUUAUAAACAGCCGACCUUCCUACCGAGUUCAAGUACCUUCUGCCUGGCCUGGAAGAACAAUAUCUCUCUGUCUCCCUCUUCCACUGGCCCUCACCUGCCUUCCCUGAACAUGCAUUUUGCCUGACAGGAGGCAGAGGUGGUUGGUGCUUGCAGCUUGGUCCAGGAGGCCAGCAGGACCAGACAGAAGACCACAGCGACACAUGGGGAUGGCUGUCCCACAGGCAGAAAUGAGCAGCCGGGAGGAAGCCUGGGCAGCCAGCCACCCAGCUCCCUCCACAUCGUGGCCCUAGAACGGAGUCUUGAAGAAUA